rfam:Tritrichomonas foetus strain K scaffold_70, whole genome shotgun sequence.
GGGUUUGUGGCCUAAUGGAUAGGGUGUGUCCCUCCGGAGGAUGAGAUUGCGGGUUCGAGUCCCGCCAGACCCU